rnacentral:misc_RNA from 1 species
AACCUUAUGGACCUGCGGGCGUAUACCUGCGGAGGGAUCAUUACAAGUGACCCCGGUUUACCACCGGGAUGUUCAUAACCCUUUGUUGUCCGACUCUGUUGCCUCCGGGGCGACCCUGCCUUCGGGCGGGGGCUCCGGGUGGACACUUCAAACUCUUGCGUAACUUUGCAGUCUGAGUAAACUUAAUUAAUAAAUUAAAACUUUCAACAAUGGAUCU